GGGAAUGUGGCUCAGUGGUAGAGCGCUUGUCUAGCAUGCAUGAAGCACUGGGUUCAAUUCCUCAUACCAC
rfam:Dipodomys ordii contig_33560, whole genome shotgun sequence.